rnacentral:rRNA from 1 species
UUGGAGGGCAAGUCUGGUGCCCGCAGCCGCGGUAAUUCCAGCUCCAAUAGCGUAUAUUAAAGUUGUUGCAGUUAAAAAGCUCGUAGUUGAACCUUGGGUCUGGCUGGCCGGUCCGCCUCACCGCGAGUACUGGUCCGGCUGGACCUUUCCUUCUGGGGAAUCUCAUGGCCUUCACUGGUCUGUGGGGGGAACCAGGACUUUUACUGUGAAAAACUUAGAGUGUUCAAAGCAGGCCUUUGCUCGAAUACAUUAGCAUGGAAUAAUAGAAUAGGA